UACGAAGGGGGCUAGCGUUGCUCGGAAUCACUGGGCGUAAAGGGUGCGUAGGCGGGUCUUUUAAGUCAGGGGUGAAAUCCUGGAGCUCAACUCCAGAACUGCCUUUGAUACUGAAGAUCUUGAGUUCGGGAGAGGUGAGUGGAACUGCGAGUGUAGAGGUGAAAUUUGUAGAUAUUCGCAAGAACACCAGUGGCGAAGGCGGCUCACUGGCCCAUUACUGACGCUGAGGCACGAAAGCGUGGGGAGCAAACAGG
rnacentral:rRNA from 1 species